rnacentral:rRNA from 1 species
UACAGAGGGGGCAAGCGUUGUUCGGAAUUACUGGGCGUAAAGCGCACGUAGGCGGACUAUUAAGUCAGGGGUGAAAUCCCGGGGCUCAACCCCGGAACUGCCUUUGAUACUGUCGAUCUGGAGUAUGGAAGAGGUGAGUGGAAUUCCGAGUGUAGAGGUGAAAUUCGUAGAUAUUCGGAAGAACACCAGUGGCGAAGGCGACUCGCUGGACAGGUAUUGACGCUGAGGUGCGAAAGCGUGGGGAGCAAACAGG